GGCCCCUUGGUCAAGUGGUUAAGACAUCGCCCUUUCACGGCGGCAACAUGGGUUCGAAUCCCGUAGGGGUCACCA
rnacentral:tRNA from 1 species